rnacentral:rRNA from 1 species
ACGAACGCUGGCGGCGUGCUUAACACAUGCACGUCGAACGGAAAGGCCCCUUUGGGGGUACUCGAGUGGCGAACGGGUGAGUAACACGUGAGUAACCUGCCCUUGACUUCGGGAUAACUUCAGGAAACUGGGGCUAAUACCGGAUAGGAAUCCUUGCUGCAUGGUGGGGGUUGGAAAGCUUCGGCGGUUUUGGAUGGACUCGCGGCUUAUCAGCUUGUUGGUGGGGUAGUGGCUUACCAAGGCUUUGACGGGUAGCCGGCCUGAGAGGGCGACCGGCCACAUUGGGACUGAGAUACGGCCCAGACUCCUACGGGAGGCAGCAGUGGGGAAUAUUGCACAAUGGGCGGAAGCCUGAUGCAGCAACGCCGCGUGCGGGAUGACGGCCUUCGGGUUGGAAACCGCUUUCAGCAGGGGCGAAGCUUGUGGUGACGGUACCUGCAGAAGAAGCACCGGCUAACUACGUG